rnacentral:rRNA from 1 species
GACAGAGGGUGCAAACGUUGUUCGGAAUUACUGGGCGUAAAGCGCGUGUAGGCGGCUCUGCAAGUCGGGUGUGAAAUCCCACGGCUCAACCGUGGAAGUGCAUUCGAAACUGCAGAGCUAGAGUCCUGGAGAGGAAGGUGGAAUGCUUGGUGUAGAGGUGAAAUUCGUAGAUAUCAAGCGGAACACCGGUGGCGAAGGCGGCCUUCUGGACAGUGACUGACGCUGAGACGCGAAAGCGUGGGGAGCAAACAGG